ACGGCUCAGUAACACGUGGCUAACCUACCCUUGGGACGGGGACAACCCCGGGAAACUGGGGCUAAUCCCCGAUGGGUGAGGAGGCCUGGAAUGGUUCCUCGCCGAAAGGGCGCUGAAACCACGCUUUUCAGCGUUGCCCAAGGACGGGGCCGCGGCCGAUCAGGUUGUUGGUGGGGUAACGGCUCACCAAGCCUUUGACCGGUACGGGCCGUGAGAGCGGGAGCCCGGAGAUGGGCACUGAGAUAAGGGCCCAGGCCCUACGGGGCGCAGCAGGCGCGAAAACUCCGCAAUGUGCGAAAGCGUGACGGGGCUAUCCCGAGUGCCGUCCGCUGAGGAUGGCUUUUCCACGGUGUAAGGAGCCGUGGGAAUAAGGAGAGGGCAAGACUGGUGUCAGCCGCCGCGGUAAUACCAGCUCUCCGGGUGGUAGGGACGAUUAUUGGGCUUAAAGCGUCCGUAGCCGGCCCGGUAAGUCUCUCGUCAAAUCCAGCGACCUAAUCGCUGGGCUGCGGGAGAUACUGUUGGGCUAGGGGGCGGGAGAAGCCGACGGUAUUCUCGGGGUAGGGGUGAAAUCCUAUAAUCCCGGGAGGACCACCAGUGGCGAAGGCGGUCGGCCAGAACGCGCUCGACGGUGAUGGACGAAAGCUGGGGGAGCGAACCGGAUUAGAUACCCGGGUAGUCCCAGCUGUAAACGAUGCGGGCUAGGUGUUGGGGAGGCUACGAGCCUCUUCAGUGCCGCAGCGAAGGCAUUAAGCCCGCCGCCUGGGGAGUACGGCCGCAAGGCUGAAACUUAAAGGAAUUGGCGGGGGAGCACCACAAGGGGU
rnacentral:rRNA from 1 species